UACGUAGGCAGCGAGCGUUGUUCGGAAUUACUGGGCGUAAAGAGUGUGUAGGCGGUGUUCCCAGUCUGUUGUGAAAUCUCCCGGCUUAACUGGGAGGGUGCAGCGGAAACUAGAAUGCUAGAGGGUGGGAGAGGUAAGCGGAAUUCCUGGUGUAGCGGUGAAAUGCGUAGAUAUCAGGAGGAACACCUGUGGCGAAGGCGGCCAGCUGGGCUGUUGCUGACGCUGAUGCGCGACAGCGUGGGGAGCAAACAGG
rnacentral:rRNA from 1 species